rnacentral:rRNA from 1 species
AGUGAACGCUGGCGGUAGGCCUAACACAUGCAAGUCGAACGGCAGCACAGUAAGAGCUUGCUCUUACGGGUGGCGAGUGGCGGACGGGUGAGGAAUACAUCGGAAUCUACUUUUUCGUGGGGGAUAACGUAGGGAAACUUACGCUAAUACCGCAUACUAUCUACGGGUGAAUGCAGGGGAUCUUCGGACCUUGCGCGAUUGAAUGAGCCGAUGUCGGAUUAGCUAGUUGGCGGGGUAAAGGCCCACCAAGGCGACGAUCCGUAGCUGGUCUGAGAGGAUGAUCGGCCACACUGGAACUGAGACACGGUCCAGACUCCUACGGGAGGCAGCAGUGGGGAAUAUUGCACAAUGGGCGCAAGCCUGAUCCAGCCAUACCGCGUGGGUGAAGAAGGCCUUCGGGUUGUAAAGCCCUUUUAUUGGGAAAGAAAAGCAGCAGGUUAAUACCCCGCUGUUCUGACGGUACCCAAUGAGUAAGCACCGGCUAACUUCGUG